CAGCAGACACAUUCCAGCCAAUCAGCAGCAGACCCUCCCUCCCACCUCCUGGACAGCAUCCAUUUUACAUUCAUUGUGAAGCUGCAUUCUUAGUGAGCUGUCCAGGAGGUGGGAGGGUCUGGGAGGGAGGGUCUGUUGCUGAUUGGCUGGAAUGUGUCUGCUG
rnacentral:miRNA from 1 species